CAGGGAUUGUGCAUGAAGUCAACUGAUGCCAUCACUGCAAAGAGGGCUGAAAACUGACAGCAAAAGGUGCCAGUAGAGAUAUCCCAUAUUUGGUAGCUGUUCUCCAAGGAGAAGGGGCAUGCACAUGACAAGAGCUUUGAAAAGUUACUUUUAAAACAACAACUAGACCACAUGCUGGCUGAGGGAUUCUCAGAGUUGUAAUCCACAAUGGAUCUUUUCCUAACUCUGCAACUGAUGUUAUGUGUCUAUUUGUGUGUGUUUGUCCGUGCAAAGGAACUAGAAUGUACUAUUAAAACAGGAUUGUCCUCUGUGUGCUCAAAAUCAUGUUCUGUUCAAGCUGGCUUUAGCUACCUCCAAAAUUUUGUCUUUAAAAAAUAAAGUACACGAACAAUUG